rnacentral:rRNA from 1 species
AUACGUAGGUGGCGAGCGUUGUCCGGAAUUAUUGGGCGUAAAGAGCAUGUAGGCGGCCUAUUAAGUCGAGCGUGAAAAUGCGGGGCUCAACCCCGUAUGGCGCUGGAAACUGGUAGGCUUGAGUGCAGGAGAGGAAAGGGGAAUUCCCAGUGUAGCGGUGAAAUGCGUAGAUAUUGGGAGGAACACCAGUGGCGAAGGCGCCUUUCUGGACUGUGUCUGACGCUGAGAUGCGAAAGCCAGGGUAGCGAACGGGAUUAGAUACCCCGGUAGUCCUGGCCGUAAACGAUGGGUACUAGGUGUAGGAGGUAUCGACCCCUUCUGUGCCGGAGUUAACGCAAUAAGUACCCCGCCUGGGGAGUACGGCCGCAAGGUUGAAACUCAAAUGAAUUGACGGGG